rnacentral:rRNA from 1 species
AUACUGUCUGACUAGAAUUUUCUCAAGGGAGAUCGGAACUGAGGGAGGAGUAGUGAAAUGCGUUGAUACCCUCGGGAACACCAGUGGCGUAGGCGGAUCUCUGGGAGAAGAUUGACACUGAGACACGAAAGCUAGGGGAGCGAAGCAGAUUAGAGACCUGCGUAGUCCUAGCCGUAAACGCAUGCUUGCUAGCUGCAUGAAUCUGCCUUCGGGUGGUAUCGUGUGGCGAAGGUAACCCGUUAAGCAAGCCGCCUGGAAAGUACGGCCGCAAGGCUGAAAUUCAAAGGAAUUGGCGGGGAGGCACACAACCAGUGGAACAUGUGGUUUAAUUCGAAACAAACCGAAGAACCUCACCAGGGUUUGACAUGUAGCUGCAAAUCUUAGGAAACUAAGACUCUUUCGAAGGUGCUACACAGGUGCUGCAUGGCUGUCGUCAGCUCGUUCCGUGAGGAGUGCCCUUAAGUGGGACAACGAGCGCAACCCCUAUUACAUGUUAGAAAUGUCAUGUAAGACUGCCUUGCCAUUUGGCGGGGAGGAAGGAGGGGCAGACGUCAAGUCCGCAUGGUCCUUAUACCCUGGGCUACACACAUGUUACAAUGAGUACGGCAAUGAGUUUGUCGCUAGCACGUAAGUGUAAGCUAAUCUCUUAAAUGUACUCUCAGUGGGGAUUGAGGUCUGCAACUCGA